rnacentral:rRNA from 1 species
UACGGAGGGUGCAAGCGUUAUCCGGAUUCACUGGGUUUAAAGGGUGCGUAGGUGGUCAGGUAAGUCCGUGGUGAAAUCUCCGAGCUUAACUCGGAAACUGCCGUUGAUACUAUUUGUCUUGAAUAUUGUGGAGGUAAGCGGAAUAUGUCAUGUAGCGGUGAAAUGCUUAGAUAUGACAUAGAACACCAAUUGCGAAGGCAGCUUACUACACAACGAUUGACGCUGAGGCACGAAAGCGUGGGGAUCAAACAGG